UACGAAGGGGGCUAGCGUUGCUCGGAAUCACUGGGCGUAAAGCGCACGUAGGCGGCUUCUUAAGUCAGGGGUGAAAUCCUGGAGCUCAACUCCAGAACUGCCUUUGAUACUGAGAAGCUUGAGUCCGGGAGAGGUGAGUGGAACUGCGAGUGUGGAGGUGAAAUUCGUAGAUAUUCGCAAGAACACCAGUGGCGAAGGCGGCUCACUGGCCCGGUACUGACGCUGAGGUGCGAAAGCGUGGGGAGCAAACAGG
rnacentral:rRNA from 1 species